rnacentral:lncRNA from 1 species
AUCAUCUUUUACUGCCUCCAAAGGCCAUAUACGCUAUGAUGCACUGGAGACAGGAAGGUGCUAUUUUCAAAUCUUGCAAUGCAUAGUAAGAUGAAUUUGGUGUAGAAAUAUACUUUUCUUCCUGUAGGGAAUAGGGGGCUAGUUAUUUCCAAGAAAAGUGAAACUCAUAAUUUAAAGCAAGCUGUGCUUUGGCUAGCCAAACCUAGAUACUUAAACUCUGAAUAUCUGAAAAAUACCCAAGAAUAGGGCAUUAGUUUC